AUACGUAGGUGGCAAGCGUUGUCCGGAAUUAUUGGGCGUAAAGCGCGCGCAGGCGGUCCUUUAAGUCUGAUGUGAAAGCCCCCGGCUCAACCGGGGAGGGUCAUUGGAAACUGGGGGACUUGAGUGCAGAAGAGGAGAGUGGAAUUCCACGUGUAGCGGUGAAAUGCGUAGAGAUGUGGAGGAACACCAGUGGCGAAGGCGACUCUCUGGUCUGUAACUGACGCUGAGGCGCGAAAGCGUGGGGAGCGAACAGGAUUAGAUACCCUGGUAGUCCACGCCGUAAACGAUGAGUGCUAAGUGUUGGAGGGUUUCCGCCCUUCAGUGCCGCAGCUAACGCAUUAAGCACUCCGCCUGGGGAGUACGACCGCAAGGUUGAA
rnacentral:rRNA from 1 species